rnacentral:rRNA from 1 species
GACAGGGCGCAUGCCAACCAUCGCAGUCAAGCGUCAUCCACUUUACCCUGCGCUCCCGUGACCAGUCCCGGACGGGUCACUCAUGUGUCCGAAACUGCCUGAUGGAGGGGGAUAACUACUGAAAACGAUAACUAAUACCGUCACAACGCCUUCAGCACCAAAGUGCCGGACCUUCCGGCCUCACGCCCUCACAUGUUCCCAGAUGGGAUUAUCUAGUCUGUGGGGUAACACCUCACCUACGCGACCAUCCCUAGCUGGUCUGACACGAUGACCAGCCACCCUGGAACUGACACCCACGUCCAGACUCCUACGGGAAGCAUCGGUGGGGAAUAUUACGCAUCUAGGCAGCAAACCGCGAUGCGACGCGUGCCACGCCUGUGGAUAAGGCCCUUCGGUUCUAAAGCACUUUCUGCAGGGAUGAAGGCGAUCAGGUUAGAACAUCACGAUUGACCUUAACGCAAAACAAUCACCGGCUAACUCAUGCCAACAUCCUCGGUAAUACGGAUGGUGCAAUCGUUUUCGGAUUUCUGUGCAUGAGCGCACUCAGGCGGUCUGUCAUUCGGAGUGAAAUCCCUGGGCUCAAGAUAGGAACUCAUUUAAACUGCAGGCUGAGUCUGUAAGGGGGGAGAUUCCAGUGUGCGUGAAAUGCUAGAGACUGUGGAAUACCGGUGGCAAAGGCGCCCCUGACAAGAACUGACCUUGGUGUAAACCUGGGACAAAAUGAUUAGAUCCCGGUAUCCCCCCGUAACGAUUCGAUUGGAGGUGUCCCUUAGGAUGCUUCGGACUAAACUUAAUGACUGCUGGGAGUAAGCCCAGGUAAACUCAAGAAUUACGGAAAGAAACGAUUGCGGAUUGGGAGUAU